rnacentral:rRNA from 1 species
GAUGAACGCUGGCGGCGUGCUUAACACAUGCAAGUCGAACGGACUUAUGAUGAAGCCUAGCGAUUUAUAAGUUAGUGGCGGACGGGUGAGUAACGCGUGGGUAACCUGCCUUAUACAGGGGGAUAACACUUAGAAAUAGGUGCUAAUACCGCAUAAGCGCACAGUAUCGCAUGAUACAGUGUGAAAAACUCCGGUGGUAUAAGAUGGACCAGCGUAUGAUUAGAUAGUUGGUGAGGUAACGGCUCACCAAGGCGACGAUCAGUAGCCGGCCUGAGGGGUGUAACGGCCAGAUGGGGACUGAGACACGGCCCAAACUCCUACGGGAGGCAGUAGUGGGGAAGAUUGCACAAUGGGGGAAACCCGGAUGCAGCGCCGCCGCGUGAGUGAAGAAGUAUUUCGGUAUGUAAAGCUCUAUCAGCAAGGAAGAAAAUGACGGUACUUGACUAAGAAGCCCCGGCUAACUACGUGCCAGCAGCCGCCGUAAAAC